AACGAACGCUGGCGGCAGGCUUAACACAUGCAAGUCGAACGGUUGUAGCAAUACAGCAGUGGCAGACGGGUGAGUAACACGUGGGAGCCUUCCUAGGGGUACGGAACAACUCAGGGAAACUUGAGCUAAUACCGUAUACGUCCGUGAGGAGAAAGAUUUAUCGCCCUUAGACGGGCCUGCGUCGGAUUAGCUAGUUGGUGGGGUAACGGCCUACCAAGGCGACGAUCCGUAGCUGAUCUUAGAGGAUGAUCAGCCACACUGGGACUGAGACACGGCCCAGACUCCUACGGGAGGCAGCAGUGGGGAAUCUUGGACAAUGGGCGCAAGCCUGAUCCAGCCAUGCCGCGUGAGUGAAGAAGGUCUUCGGAUUGUAAAGCUCUUUUGCCAGGGACGAUAAUGACGGUACCUGGAGAAUAAGCCCCGGCAAACUUCGUGCCAGCAGCCGCCGCUG
rnacentral:rRNA from 1 species